UUUUAGGGAGACCUACCCUUGAUAACUCCGAACCAAAUUGAAUUAGGAGUAUUGAGUGGUCACUCUAGGUCGUUCAGGACUUUGAGAUUAGUUUCUAGACUAUGGUUGAGGUUUAUUUCUUAACUUUAGAUGACUGCUAGCAAUAGUUAUUUAGGGAAAAGGGAACUAAACACGGGCUAUUAGCUCAGGUGGUUAGAGCGCACCCCUGAUAAGGGUGAGGUCCCUGGUUCGAGUCCAGGAUGGCCCACUGCGUGGGGGUUUAGCUCAGUUGGUAGAGCGCCUGCUUUGCAAGCAGGAUGUCAGCGGUUCGAGUCCGCUAACCUCCACCACGACUGACUGAACUAAUGAGUGGGGAUAAAUUCAGCACAGUGUGUUUUGGGAUUGACCAAGACAUAGUCUGCUGGGUGAGAGCCUAGCUAAGAACCUUGAAAACUGAAUAUGAGAGAAGUGUAAGGUAGUACACACAGAACAUUCAAAGUUCGUUGAGAGAAGAGUGAAUUUGAUUAGUUUCGACUAAUUGAAUGAAGGUCAAGCUACAACGGGCUCACGGUGGAUC
rnacentral:tRNA from 1 species